ACUGUAACGUUCGGUAUAAAUGGGGCUUGGACUUUCGCCGUCAAGGGACAUAUCUAACGAAAGGUACAAAUUCAGAAAGGUUCUUGUUGUGGCCAUGGGACGCCCCCGUGAAUUCGAUCUCGACCAGGCUUUGGAAAACGCGUUGCACGUGUUUUGGGAGAAGGGAUACGAGGGCGCGUCGAUGGCGGACCUGACCGAGGCGAUGGGUAUUACCAAACCGUCGCUCUAUGCCGCGUUCGGCAACAAGGAAGAACUUUUCCGCAAAGCGUUCGAUUCUUAUGUCGAUGGCCCGGC
rnacentral:misc_RNA from 1 species